UACGUAGGGGGCAAGCGUUGUCCGGAUUUAUUGGGCGUAAAGAGCGUGUAGGCGGCUUUACAGGUCUGUUGUGAAAACUCGAGGCUCAACCUCGAGACGCCGGUGGAAACCGUAAAGCUAGAGUCCGGCAGAGGGGGGUGGAAUUCCACGUGUAGCAGUGAAAUGCGUAGAUAUGUGGAGGAACACCGAUGGCGAAGGCAGCCCCCUGGGCUAACACUGACGCUCAUGCACGAAAGCGUGGGGAGCAAACAGG
rnacentral:rRNA from 1 species